UACGAGUGCCCCAAGCGUUAUCCGGAAUUAUUGGGCGUAAAGGAUGUGUAGGCGGUCAGAUUAGUCUCUUGUUAAAGCUCUCGGCUUAACCGGGAAAGUGCAGGGAAACGGUCUGACUAGAGGAUGUGAGAGGUGUGCGGAACUCAUAGUGUAGGGGUGAAAUCCGUUGAUAUUAGGAAGAACACCGGUGGCGAAGGCGGCCAUCUGGCUCGGUACUGACGCUCAGGCGCGAAAGCGUGGGGAGCAAACAGG
rnacentral:rRNA from 1 species